rnacentral:rRNA from 2 species
AUCCUCCAAGGCUAAAUACUCCUGACUGACCGAUAGUGAACCAGUACCGUGAGGGAAAGGCGAAAAGAACCCCGGCGAGGGGAGUGAAAAAGAACCUGAAACCGUGUACGUACAAGCAGUGGGAGCCCCACCACUAAGCCAGUGGUGAACUCCACAUCCGCAUCCUUUGCUGAGGAUACGGUUAACGGAGCGAAAGCGACGUUCAACCGCAAAACAAGCAGAGGGGGCUUAGUGGUGGGGUGACUGCGUACCUUUUGUAUAAUGGGUCAGCGACUUAUAUUCUGUAGCAAGGUUAACCGAAUAGGGGAGCCGGAGGGAAACCGAGUCUUAAUUGGGCGUUAAGUUGCAGGGUAUAGACCCGAAACC